rnacentral:rRNA from 1 species
CUACGUGCCAGCAGCCGCGGUAAUACGGAAGGUUCGGGCGUUAUCCGGAUUUAUUGGGUUUAAAGGGAGCGUAGGCCGUGGAUUAAGCGUGUUGUGAAAUGUAGAUGCUCAACAUCUGACUUGCAGCGCGAACUGGUUUACUUGAGUGUGCGCAACGUAGGCGGAAUUCGUCGUGUAGCGGUGAAAUGCUUAGAUAUGACGAAGAACUCCGAUUGCGAAGGCAGCUUACGGGAGCACAACUGACGCUGAAGCUCGAAGGUGCGGGUAUCGAACAGGAUUAGAUACCCUGGUAGUCCGCACAGUAAACGAUGGAUGCCCGCUGUUAGCGCCUGGCGUUAGCGGCUAAGCGAAAGCAUUAAGCAUCCCACCUGGGGAGUACGCCGGCAACGGUGAAACUCAAAGGAAUUGACGGGGGCCCGCACAAGCGGUGGAGCAUGUGGUUUAAUUCGAAGCAACGCGAAGAACCUUACCAGGUCUUGAC